UACGUAGGUGGCGAGCGUUGUCCGGAUUUACUGGGCGUAAAGAGCGCGCAGGCGGCUGGUCAAGUCCGAUGUGAAAGCUCCCGGCUUAACUGGGAAAUUGCAUCGGAAACUGAUCGGCUGGAAGGUGGGAGAGGGUAGCGGAAUUCCCGGUGUAGUGGUGAGAUGCGUAGAUAUCGGGAGGAACACCAGUGGCGAAAGCGGCUACCUGGCCCAUUCUUGACGCUGAGGCGCGAAAGCUAGGGGAGCAAACGGG
rnacentral:rRNA from 1 species